AGUGAACGCUGGCGGUAGGCCUAACACAUGCAAGUCGAACGGCAGCACAGUAAGAGCUUGCUCUUACGGGUGGCGAGUGGCGGACGGGUGAGGAAUACAUCGGAAUCUACUUUUUCGUGGGGGAUAACGUAGGGAAACUUACGCUAAUACCGCAUACGACCUACGGGUGAAGGCAGGGGAUCUUCGGACCUUGCGCGAUUGAAUGGGCCGAUGUCGGAUUAGCUAGUUGGCGGGGUAAAGGCCCACCAAGGCGACGAUCCGUAGCUGGUCUGAGAGGAUGGUCAGCCACACUGGAACUGAGACACGGGCCAGACUCCUACGGGAGGCAGCAGUGGGGAAUAUUGGACAAUGUGCGCAAGCCUGAUCCAGCCAUACCGCGUGGGUGAAGAAGGCCUUCGGGUUGUAAAGCCCUUUUGUUGGGAAAGAAAAGCAGCAGGUUAAUACCCCGCUGUUCUGACGGUACCCAAAGAAUAGCACCGGCUAACUUCGUG
rnacentral:rRNA from 1 species